UUCACGAUGCUGUCAGUCAGUCCGGUAGGAACAGAGGGGGCGGGACUCUUAACUGAGCUGUGGGUACGCCGCUGCGUUCAGAAAAUAGAUAAACAGAAUAUGCUAACCUAUGAUUGACGCAACUAAGUUACAAACUCAUCCAACUAGAUACUGAUACGCUAAACUGGCAAACCGAAGAUGUCGGAGAGGAGCCGCGCGCUUGUCUUGUGAUUUACAUGCGUUUGCCCAGUUAGUUAGCAACAUGAUGAUGAUAUUAUUGCGCUCACGGUUUAACCUUCAUGCUUUUCUGCUUUGAAUUGUUGCCUUUCAUGCAUCAUUUCCACAUGCACUCCUAGAAUUGUAGUUAUCUGACCGGAGCCGCUCAGUUUUAGGUUCUUGUGCGCCAUCAAGCUAAGCUAACAGCACAGGAAUGGUGUGCAUGGGCCAAACCCCUUUCUCAUAUUAGCUCGUACUGGCAGCUAACUAUCUACAAGUUUGGACCAGAACGUGGAGAGUUUUCUAGAAAGAAAGGCGGUGCAGAUCGAACAAGCAGAAUGUUGGUUUGCUGAAACCCACGGAUCACUUCCUUAGGUAUUGAUCGAGACCUACAUUGACCCUUAAAGUCACCAUGAAAUCAAAAUUGAUGCUACUUAUUGUUUGAGGAAAUAUUGUAGUGUUUCUUAUAAAUAAUUUAUCUGUGCACUUCAUUGUUUAAAAAAAAUUAAUAUACCCUCAUAAUCUUUAAUCAAAAACGUCAACCCCCCUCUCGAGACGACCGCUCCUGUCUUCCGGUCACGAGCUAUGCCGCGAGGGCGUGGUUAUCGUGGACUCGUUUCUGCCUAUCUCUCCUGUAAUUGAAAAGAUCGCAGCAGCAAUCAGCGAUCGACAACAUGGUGGUAAGGUGCAUUUUUGGUUGUACUUCUCCACAAGUCCUCUUCGCUAUCCCGAAAGAACCCUCUCGGCGUGCCCGAUGGCUCGAAUUUUUACACUUUGAAGAAGGAGGAAUAAACGCGAAUUCGCGAUUGUGUGCAAGACAUUUUACAGAGGAUUGCUUCAAGAAUUUGAAGCGAUAUGAAAUGGGAUUAGUCCAAAUUCUGCAUUUGUCUGACACAGCUGUCCCCUCUGUGUACACAGUUGGAGUGUCAAUGAAUGUGAAGCCACUUACACGAGAUGUUGGAUGCCAAUGUGCCCCCAAAACUGUUCGCAACACUGGAGUGCAAGUGGCAUUCUCAACUCCAAAACCGAAACGACGGAGUAAAGCGGUCCAGGUAAAAUCUUGGGGCCCGUCUUUGUCCUGCUCUACUGCAGAUCUUGGCACCAUGUAUGAUCCUCCUUAUUUGACGUCUACACUGAUCAAAAGGCCACGGAUGGAAAAUAGCGGCACUAUUGAGAUCAAUGACACAUCGUCGGGUAACGUUACAAUAAAGGAAUCAACGAUGUUCGACUCCUGAUAUCACUCAAGAGGACGAUCAAAAGGUUUGCCAACCCCUCUACAGUGCAUCUAAAUACAUAGUGUACUAGGACAUCUUGCUAGACCUCUUUAGAAAGUGCUCCACAUGCAUGCUCACCUGCACUGUCAACAAAUUUGUGAUCGGAACCUUUGUGUCAGUCACACAGCAGUUUGUCAUGAGGACCAGGAUUACAAUUUUGCAAUGAAGACUGCUGAAACGACUGUGGACUCCCUGCUGAAAAUACUUUUUGAAGAUGUCGUCCCAACCCUGGCCCAUACCAGGAAGAAAUGAGUGAACUGAAGGUCCCUGACAAUCUGUGUGCUGCCUUCAAAAGGCCCGACCUGCAGGAAGCUGCAACAAGACAUUGGUCCUGCUUUUUACAGCCUUCCUUGGUGGUCUCCAGUGAACAUUUAAUGUAUGCGAGAGAAACCGAAUGUGAGAGUCUGUAAUAGAGGCUAAAAUAGAGGCCAAGUAUGUGUAUGUUUGUCUUGACUGUACAGUGUUUGGGGAAAAAAAUUUAUAUAGUUAUUGUCAAGGCAAUAUCUCUGAAAUGUGUUCUUCAAAAAAAAUAAAAUAAAUAAAUAAAAUGACAAA